rnacentral:misc_RNA from 1 species
UGGUUCUGGCAUNGAUGAAGAACGCAGCGAAAUGCGAUAAGUAAUGUGAAUUGCAGAAUUCAGUGAAUCAUCGAAUCUUUGAACGCACAUUGCGCCCCCUGGAAUUCCGGGGGGCAUGCCUGUUCGAGCGUCAUUACCCCCCUCAAGCGUCAGCUUGGCCUUGGGUCCCGUCCGGCGAGGGCGAGCCCGAAAAUUAGCGGCGGUCCGGGUCGGAUUCGGGUGCAGUCAAAUGUUUUCCACCGCGAACUCCGGCCCGUGGCUGGCCGAAACCACCCCCCAUUCCAAACGAUUGACCUCGGAUCAGGUAGGGAUACCCGCUGA